AGAGAGCGAAUAGCUAUUAGCUAUAUACACAAUAUUAAUUUGAGGAUUAAUUAAUAAAUUAUCAGUGAUAGUAAUCAAAGAUCAGUUAUUGAAAUUAAAAAUAGUUUGGGCUAAGCUUGAUAUAAUCCAUACGAAAAUGAAAAACGGUGGAUACAAAUAAAAUAUGAUCUCUUGAUUGGUUUGAGUUUUUGGGGACAUUAUUUGUGCAACUAGUAACCAAGUUAAUCCUUAAGAGGAACUAUUCGCGAGAGUAAAAUUGCUGACAAUGAAUACAGAGCGUAUAUUAUUUUAUCUACGAGUAUUAUGGUAGUAAUAUCCUGUAAAAUCAUUCAUGUCUGUGUUACUUGCCAAUGUGAGUGGUGGCUGCACAGCAAUUAAAGAAUAACUAAACCAAUUCCCAAUGCACCGCAGUACUGACAUUUACCUCUGACACGGUUAGAUAGUUAUAACAAUUAAAACAAUAAAAAAAAAAGCGCAAUGAAUAAAAUAUUAUUAACCCUGCAGAUUUUUCUUUCAAAACGCGGAGGAAGUAAAAAAAAUAUUUAAUAGUUAAAAAAUUACUAUAUAA